AUACGUAGGGGGCAAGCGUUGUCCGGAAUUAUUGGGCGUAAAGCGCGCGCAGGCGGUCUUUUAAGUCUGGUGUUUAAGUGCGGGGCUCAACCCCGUGACGCACUGGAAACUGGGAGACUUGAGUGCAGAAGAGGAGAGCGGAAUUCCACGUGUAGCGGUGAAGUGCGUAGAGAUGUGGAGGAACACCAGUGGCGAAGGCGGCUCUCUGGCCUGUAACUGACGCUGAGGCGCGAAAGCGUGGGGAGCAAACAGGAUUAGAUACCCUGGUAGUCCACGCCGUAAACGAUGAGUGCUAGGUGUCGGGGGGGUCCACCCCGCGGUGCCGAAGUAAACACAUUAAGCACUCCGCCUGGGGAGUACGGUCGCAAGACUGAA
rnacentral:rRNA from 1 species